rnacentral:rRNA from 1 species
GGUCAAGUGAAGAAGCGCAUACGGUGGAUGCCUUGGCAGUCAGAGGCGAUGAAAGACGUGGUAGCCUGCGAAAAGCUUCGGGGAGUCGGCAAACAGACUUUGAUCCGGAGAUCUCUGAAUGGGGGAACCCACCUAGGAUAACCUAGGUAUCUUGUACUGAAUCCAUAGGUGCAAGAGGCGAACCAGGGGAACUGAAACAUCUAAGUACCCUGAGGAAAAGAAAUCAAACGAGAUUCCCUUAGUAGUGGCGAGCGAACGGGGAUUAGCCCUUAAGCUUCAUUGAUUUUAGCGGAACGCUCUGGAAAGUGCGGCCAUAGUGGGUGAUAGCCCCGUACGCGAAAGGAUCUUUGAAGUGAAAUCGAGUAGGACGGAGCACGAGAAACUUUGUCUGAACAUGGGGGGACCAUCCUCCAAGGCUAAAUACUACUGACUGACCGAUAGUGAACCAGUACCGUGAGGGAAAGGCGAAAAGAACCCCGGAGAGGGGAGUGAAAUAGAACCUGAAACCGUAUGCGUACAAGCAGUGGGAGCCUACUUGUUAGGUGACUGCGUACCUUUUGUAUAAUGGGUCAGCGACUUAUAUUCAGUGGCAAGCUUAACCGUAUAGGGUAGGCGUAGCGAAAGCGAGUCUUAAUAGGGCGUUUAGUCGCUGGGUAUAGACCCGAAACCGGGCGAUCUAUCCAUGAGCAGGUUGAAGGUUAGGUAACACUGACUGGAGGACCGAACCCACUCCCGUUGAAAAGGUAGGGGAUGACUUGUGGAUCGGAGUGAAAGGCUAAUCAAGCUCGGAGAUAGCUGGUUCUCCUCGAAAGCUAUUUAGGUAGCGCCUCAUGUAUCACUCUGGGGGGUAGAGCACUGUUUCGGCUAGGGGGUCAUCCCGACUUACCAAACCGAUGCAAACUCCGAAUACCCAGAAGUGCCGAGCAUGGGAGACACACGGCGGGUGCUAACGUCCGUCGUGAAAAGGGAAACAACCCAGACCGCCAGCUAAGGUCCCAAAGUUGUGGUUAAGUGGUAAACGAUGUGGGAAGGCUUAGACAGCUAGGAGGUUGGCUUAGAAGCAGCCAUCCUUUAAAGAAAGCGUAAUAGCUCACUAGUCGAGUCGGCCUGCGCGGAAGAUGUAACGGGGCUCAAACCACACACCGAAGCUGCGGGUGUCACGUAAGUGACGCGGUAGAGGAGCGUUCUGUAAGCCUGUGAAGGUGAGUUGAGAAGCUUGCUGGAGGUAUCAGAAGUGCGAAUGCUGACAUGAGUAACGACAAUGGGUGUGAAAAACACCCACGCCGAAAGACCAAGGGUUCCUGCGCAACGUUAAUCGACGCAGGGUUAGUCGGUUCCUAAGGCGAGGCUGAAAAGCGUAGUCGAUGGGAAACAGGUUAAUAUUCCUGUACUUCUGGUUACUGCGAUGGAGGGACGGAGAAGGCUAGGCCAGCUUGGCGUUGGUUGUCCAAGUUUAAGGUGGUAGGCUGAAAUCUUAGGUAAAUCCGGGGUUUCAAGGCCGAGAGCUGAUGACGAGUCGUCUUUUAGAUGACGAAGUGGUUGAUGCCAUGCUUCCAAGAAAAGCUUCUAAGCUUCAGGUAACCAGGAACCGUACCCCAAACCGACACAGGUGGUCGGGUAGAGAAUACCAAGGCGCUUGAGAGAACUCGGGUGAAGGAACUAGGCAAAAUGGCACCGUAACUUCGGGAGAAGGUGCGCCGGCUAGGGUGAAGGAUUUACUCCGUAAGCUCUGGCUGGUCGAAGAUACCAGGCCGCUGCGACUGUUUAUUAAAAACACAGCACUCUGCAAACACGAAAGUGGACGUAUAGGGUGUGACGCCUGCCCGGUGCCGGAAGGUUAAUUGAUGGGGUUAGCGCAAGCGAAGCUCUUGAUCGAAGCCCCGGUAAACGGCGGCCGUAACUAUAACGGUCCUAAGGUAGCGAAAUUCCUUGUCGGGUAAGUUCCGACCUGCACGAAUGGCGUAACGAUGGCGGCGCUGUCUCCACCCGAGACUCAGUGAAAUUGAAAUCGCUGUGAAGAUGCAGUGUAUCCGCGGCUAGACGGAAAGACCCCGUGAACCUUUACUGUAGCUUUGCACUGGACUUUGAGCCUGCUUGUGUAGGAUAGGUGGGAGGCUUUGAAGCGUGGACGCCAGUUCGCGUGGAGCCAUCCUUGAAAUACCACCCUGGCAUGCUUGAGGUUCUAACUCUGGUCCGUGAUCCGGAUCGAGGACAGUGUAUGGUGGGCAGUUUGACUGGGGCGGUCUCCUCCUAAAGAGUAACGGAGGAGUACGAAGGUGCGCUCAGACCGGUCGGAAAUCGGUCGCAGAGUAUAAAGGCAAAAGCGCGCUUGACUGCGAGACAGACACGUCGAGCAGGUACGAAAGUAGGUCUUAGUGAUCCGGUGGUUCUGUAUGGAAGGGCCAUCGCUCAACGGAUAAAAGGUACUCCGGGGAUAACAGGCUGAUACCGCCCAAGAGUUCAUAUCGACGGCGGUGUUUGGCACCUCGAUGUCGGCUCAUCACAUCCUGGGGCUGAAGCCGGUCCCAAGGGUAUGGCUGUUCGCCAUUUAAAGUGGUACGCGAGCUGGGUUUAGAACGUCGUGAGACAGUUCGGUCCCUAUCUGCCGUGGACGUUUGAGAUUUGAGAGGGGCUGCUCCUAGUACGAGAGGACCGGAGUGGACGAACCUCUGGUGUUCCGGUUGUCACGCCAGUGGCAUUGCCGGGUAGCUAUGUUCGGAAAAGAUAACCGCUGAAAGCAUCUAAGCGGGAAACUUGCCUCAAGAUGAGAUCUCACUGGGAACUUGAUUCCCCUGAAGGGCCGUCGAAGACUACGACGUUGAUAGGCUGGGUGUGUAAGCGUUGUGAGGCGUUGAGCUAACCAGUACUAAUUGCCCGUGAGGCUUGACCAU